CGCGUGGGAACAUACCCUUGGUACGGAAUAGCCUCUGGAAACGGAGAGUAAUACCGUAUGAGCCCUUCGGGGAAGGAUUAUCGCAAGAUGCCGCGCUAGAUAGUAGUUGGUGGGUAAGUGGCCUACCAAGCCUACGAUCUAUAGCUGGUUUUAGUAGGAUGAUCAGCAACACUGGGACGUGAGACACGGCCCAGACUCCUACGGGAGGGCAGCAGUGGGGAAGUCUUGGACAAUGGGGGCGAACCCUGAUCCAGCCAUGCCGCGUGAGUGAUGAAGGCCUUAGGGUCGUAAAGCUCUUUC
rnacentral:rRNA from 1 species